AAGAGUGAGAAGUUAAACGCAAAGGUAUCACGGCUCGCGCAACAGCAAGCAGCAGCUUUUACUGUAACCGCUCGGAGUUUCCCCGCGAAUGCAAGAGGAACUCUUCGUCUCGAGCAGAAUUAAUGGGUAUCAAGACACCAGAAGCAGUGCUAGAGCGAAGGAAAAGAUGCAGUGUUGGGAGUAUUUUAACCUAGCCUGGUUCUUCUGGCGACUUGACAGAGCUCAGCCACCGAAGUCAGACCACUAUGGGCCGAAGCUGACCGAUAAAGGUCCAGACAUGAAGGAGACAGGGUCUUGUCUGUAGCAUCUCACAAUGAGAAGAGCUUUCAGCGUGUCGCGAGGUAAUUACUCUCCUUGAGGGAGGGCGAAAUCUUUUUAUUGUAAUUAUGUCAGAGAAAUGAAGAAGCCUGCUUGUGAGAUCCUCAAACAUUGUCUCAACGUAUUUGGGGGGAGAUUUUCCUUAGUUAUGUGUGUACAUAAUACCCCAACAUCACAUUCCCAGCCAGCUAUCACAUUCACUUGUGUUUAGACCGUCAGGAUAAUGAUGUGCUAACUCUUGUGAAACU